rnacentral:rRNA from 1 species
CGGACCAAGGAGUCUAACAUGUGUGCGAGUCAGUGGGUCUCGAACAAGCCCACGGGCGCAAUGAAAGCAAAGGUCCACCAGGGCCGAGUUGGGAUCCUUUCCCCUUCGCGGGCAAGGCGCACCAACGACCCGCCCGUACGGAUUUAUUCGUGGGACGGAGUUUGAGCACACACGUUGGGACCCGAAAGAUGGUGAACUAUGCCCGGGCAGGACGAAGUCAGAGGAAACUCUGGUGGAGGUCCGCCGCGGUUCUGACGUGCAAAUCGAUCGUCAGAUCCGGGUAUAGGGGCGAAAGACCAAUCGAACUAUCUAGUAGCUGGUUCCCUCCGAAGUUUCCCUCAGGAUAGCUGGCGCUCGGAGAAUUCAGUCUCAUCCGGUAAAGCGAAUGAUUAGAGGCCUUGGGGCCGAAACGACCUCAACCUAUUCUCAAACUUUAAAUGGGUGAGAAGUCCGCCUUGCUUAAUUGAAGGCCGGACUUCGUAGACACGGAUGAGAGUGCCCAGUGGGCCACUUUUGGUAAGCAGAACUGGCGCUGUGGGAUGAACCAAACGUCGGGUUACGGUGUCCGAUGCGAGACGCUCAUGAGACCCCAUGAAAGGUGUUGGUUGCUCCAGACAGCAGGACGGUGGCCACGGAGGUUGGAAUCCGCUAAGGAGUGUGUAACAACUCACCUGCCGAAGCAACUAGCCCUGAAAAUGGAUGACGCUCCAGCGUCGAACCCAUACCCGACCGCUGCGGCACAACUCCCUCUUCUGGGGAGGCUUACGCCGCAGUGAGUAGGAGGGUCGCAGCGGCGAGCGUUGAAGGUGCCGGGCGCGAGCCCGCCUGGAGCCGCCGCUGGUGCAGAUCUUGGUGGUAGUAGCAAAUACUCAAGUGAGAACCUUGAGGACUGAAGGUGGAGAAGGGUUCCAUGUGAACAGCAGUUGAACAUGGGUCAGUCGGACCUGAGGGAUCGGAGAAGUCCGUUCCGAAGCGGGACAUUGACGCGAGUGCUCGUCCCGCUGCCGACCGAAAGGGAAUGGGGUCAAUAUUCCCCAACCCGGACACGGAGAUAGGGUCUUCGGGCCCAAGUGCGGUAACGCAACCGAACUCGGAGACGGCGACGGAGGACCCGGGGAAGAGUUUCUUUUCUUUGUAAGAGUUCGUGUCCCUGGAAUCGGUUCAUCCGGAGAUAGGGACGCUGUUCUCGUAAAAGCUCCGCGGCUCUUGCGGAGUCCGGUGCGCCUCUGCCGCCCCUUGAAAAUCCGAGGGAGAGAGUGUAAUUUUCGUGCCGGUCCGUACCCAUAUCCGCAGCA